rnacentral:rRNA from 1 species
UACGAAGGGGGCUAGCGUUGCUCGGAAUUACUGGGCUUAAAGGGUGCGUAGGCGGCGCGGAAAGUUGGGUGUGAAAUCCCUCGGCUCAACCGAGGAACUGCGCCCAAUACUACCGUGCUUGAGGGAGAUAGAGGUGAGCGGAACUUAGGGUGGAGCGGUGAAAUGCGUUGAUAUCCUAAGGAACACCGGUGGCGAAAGGCGGCUCACU